AUUGAACGCUGGCGGCAUGCCUUACACAUGCAAGUCGAACGGCAGCAUAGGAGCUUGCUCCUGAAGGCGAGUGGCGAACGGGUGAGUAAUAUAUCGGAACGUGCCCUAGAGUGGGGAUAACUAGUCGAAAGACUAGCUAAUACCGCAUACGAUCUACGGAUGAAAGUGGGGGAUCGCAAGACCUCAUGCUCCUGGAGCGGCCGAUAUCUGAUUAGCUAGUUGGUGGGGUAAAAGCCUACCAAGGCAACGAUCAGUAGCUGGUCUGAGAGGACGACCGGCGACACUGGGACGUAGACACGGCCCAGACUCCUACAGGAGGCAGCAGUGGGGAAUUUUGGACAAUGGGGGCAACCCUGAUCCAGCAAUGCCGCGUGAGUGAAGAAGGCCGUCGGGUUGUAAAGCUCUUUUGUCAGGGAAGAAACGGUAGUAGCGAAUAACUAUUACUAAUGACGGUACCUGAAGAAUAAGCACCGGCUAACUACGUGCCAGCCGCCGCCGUAAGAC
rnacentral:rRNA from 1 species